AUUGAACGCUGGCGGCAGGCCUAACACAUGCAAGUCGAACGAGAGGCGGGCGGGGGAGUAAUGUAUCGGGAACGUGCGUUAGAGAGGGAUAACAACUGGAAACGACGGGUAAUACUGCAUACUGUCGGCUACGCGAUAUGGGGUUAGCUAGUAGGUAAGGUAAUGGCUUACCUAGGCGACGAUCCCUAGCUGGUCUGAGAGGAUGAUCAGCCACACUGGGACUGAGACACGGCCCAGACUCCUACGGAGGCAGCAGUGGGGAAUAUUGCACAAUGGGCGCAAGCCUGAUGCAGCAAUGCCGCGUGUAUGAAGAAGGCCUUAGGGUUGUAAAGUACUUUCAGUCGGGAGGCGUUACCGACAGAAGAAGCACCGGCUAACUCCGUGCCAGCAGCCGCGGUAAUAC
rnacentral:rRNA from 1 species